CAGAUGUUGAGGAGCUUUUCAUAUCACACAUCUCUGGAAUUGAUACCAUGGCCCGCAGACUCCGCAAUGCUGCCAAGCUAAUUGAGGAUGGUUCAUUGGAUGAGCUUGUUCGAAAGUAGUACCAGAGUUUCGACUAAAAAAUUGGGGCUCUGAUCGAGGCUAGGAAGGCUGAUUUUGAGACACUUGAGAAGAAGGCCAUGGAAUGGGGUGAACCAGCUGUUGCUUCUGGAAAGCAGG